AUCGGUCGAAAGCCAUACAUAUGUAUAUCCCUGUUCCAUUGGCGAGGUCAGGUUCACUCUAAGGACACAGCUUUGCCUAAGAAACCCCAGUUGAAGCGUUUUAAAAAAUAUUAAAAA